AAUACAUUGCUUCUUAGCAAUCGAAUAUCAAAGGGACAACCUGGCAUUUAAAAAAAACCACAUUUUUCUUUCAGAUAAAAAAGAUUAUGCUCUGCUGCAUAUUCUUUGCUCUUCACAUGUAAAUAGUAACUUGAACAAGCUUAGGUCCACUUUUUUUUCUGAAUCUGUAGAACAUAGAACUCUAGAAACAAAGAACAGCUCUCAGCUUGGCUGUCGCUUUUAAGCAAAGGUGUUCCUGCCUUGUUUUUCAGAAUCAGAGCUGCCUGCUGUAAUGUAGAAGGAGCUACUGAGCAACAGCUGCUGGUGAAACGGAGUAGAAACAAAGUUAAAAUAGUGAGAGCUGUAGAAGUCUCAGUUAUAAGUUCCCAAACAACCUUAUGGAUCGUGCAGGUUGGCGCUCUGUGCUCCAGCUGGCCCCCUUGUCUUCCUCUAACAUGGUAAGAGCCAUAGGGGAAGGAGAUUGCAUCUUGAUCAUCGGACCAAGUCUUUCAUCAUUCUCCAGCAUACCUUCACUACAACUAAGAUCCAGUGGUCCAUGGCCAGACCUUGACUGAACAUAAAAUCAUGAAGAGUUAACCUGUUGUGAAUUGAAGGUCAUGAACAUCAAGUGUGGUAAUGAUCACUUAUGCUUUAAUUUGGAAGUUACUGUUUAUCUUGUUGAUUGGUAACAAUCAGUCUCAUGAAUUCUGUAGAUCUUAGAAAAAGUGGAAAGUAUUACUUCAAAAAACCAAUCACUCAUUACUUCUGAAGUCAUUCUUCUCUGAAGAAGUUAAACCCUGUUUGCUUUGAAAAAAAACCAAAAUACUUCAAAUGGAGGAUGAUUAAGGAAUUUGAAUCUGCAGUUUCUAAAGAAGUUGGCUGAAGGAGGCCUCUGGCCUUGUAUGUUCAUUUUGAAUAAAUCUUGGAAAACUAUUGUGGCAUCUAUAUCUUCUUUUUAAGAAAAGAUUAAUGAACCAGGCAGCUACAGAUCAGUUAGCAAGUGUCAGUUCUAGGCAAAAAGAUUGGAUGUGUGUGGUGGGAUCCUAUUACAGCCUUGGAAAUACCUAGGUAACGAGUAACCUUGUGUGGCUCUAUUAGAAAAUAGAUCUUUUAAAUAAUCUUUGACAAAAAUAGCUGUAAUAUAGUAGUGUUUAAUUGUUAAUUAAAGUAUAGCAUUCAUAUUAUCCCUAGAAUACAUGUUAAAUGGAUAUAGAACUGAUUAAGUGUCAGAUAAUAGUAAUCACUGAAAGGGAAUGUUUCUACAAGGGUUGUGGGGAAUUGUUUUGGGUUAAUGCAGUUCCAAAAUUUUAGUAAUGAAACAAUGGGUAAAAAUUGUGGAUAAUCAAAAAAAGAAAUUAUGAUGUGAUUACUCAUGAAGAUGGGAAUGAUGACACCAAGCCAUCAUUAUAGUAUUGUAGGAAGUUAGGUCUUCAGAAACAGUGUGUUCUAGUACAGUCAAGUGUAGAGCUAUGAGGGAGUUCUGUUCAAAUUGUUCAAAUUUAUAGUUUGUGGUACUGCAUUUUUAGAGUGCAGUUUCUGUUUGCAAUGAGCUGAUAUGGUGGUGAAUGCACAAAGAGAAAUUUAAAACAAAAAGCAAAAAGAAAAAGGUGGCAAAGGCCUCUUUCUUUUGUGACAGAGAGAAACAUAAUACUAAGCAGUAGCAGGAAGUGAAAAUUAAAGUAAUUUAAGUGAGGGUUCAUUUAAACAGUGAGUAUGACAUCCGUAAUGGGAAGUGAUGCCUUUUUGUUACUUGUUCUGUCGAGUACCCAAAACCCAAAAAUAGUCUUAUACUGGACCCACUAAGGAGUGAAAAAUAAACAAUGCUCUCUGCCAAAAACAGGUCAAUACCAAACAAAUAACCCUGUGAUUUCUGAGUGAUAAAGACUUACUACAUUUUAAAGCUUAGGUUUCAGACUUAUAAAUCUGUCAGGCAAAAUUUCGAAGAGGCUUUCCUUUGUUGAGUCACUUCUAACAAUGAGUUAGAAUUCUUUUCCUCAUUCAAUUAGGAGUUUCUUACACUACCUCCUGCAGAGAACCUUUGAAGUAUGUUUAUAUUCUAACGUAUUUAUCACAGGUUGUCUAAUGGUCCAGCUUUUAGAAAAAGUGUUUAUGUCGUUUGCAUUUUGGAAGUACUUUCAGAGGGAGGAGCCUGUGUAGCUUUGAAAGGUGCACCUCUGCUGAUUUUCAGAGCUUUAAGAAGAGUCCAUUUAAGUUUGUAGAUGUGCUAUGCCAGGUGAAACAUGACAUCUGCACCGUUAUAUAAGAUGUCCCUGAGAGUAGUGUAACUCCCACUGGUAAAACCGUAAGCUGUCAAGUAACUCAAGAAUGAUGAUGCAAGUCCCCCCUUUAAAUUAAUGAUACUGAGAUAUCGGAAAGAAAGAACUGUAGUUGGACUGAUAAAGGCAAACUUUCCCAAAAGAAAACAGUAAAUUGUAAAUUUUUUAAAGGUACUUGUAGAACUUGAUCAGUUCACCUUUUUUUUCCCACACAACUCAAGAUUAACUAUACUUUAUCAUUAAAGUAACUGCUCUCCUUCCCUGUCUUGUUCUCUACAGGAUCUGUGGUGGAUUUUUUCUUGAAUUGUGAAGUAACAUGAAUAUGAAUAAAUCACAUAUUUUCUGAAGACUUGUGGUAGGAAUAGUAUUAUUUGCAUCCCUUGUGGGGUUCUGCUCUAAAACUGGAGUCCUCCCAAGUGCUGCCAAAGCGCAAAUAUAUAAAUUCCAUCUUCGGCUGGCAUUUCAUAUAUGCUGUGACUACCAAGCUAUCAUAGAAAAUGCCAGAUGAUUUCGUAAGUAUACUUUAUUUGAAAGCCCAGGUUCUGCAAAUAUGUAUGCUGAAGUAGUGGAAUUGCUCAGAAAGGAAGGCUGUUGGUAACGCAGGGUUUCAUUAUGACGUGUUUAGGUCUCAGGGAGAGACAGGAUUUUGCAAAGAAGGCUGAAGUUCAAACUCACUUCCUGUACUCCUUCCUAAGCAAACAUUAAUGCUAAUAUUUUCAAUUACUAACUUGUAAAUCUGAGAAACUGAGAUAUAUGCGAUAAUCCCGUUUAAAAAAGUAGGCUUCAUACUGUUGUGAAAAGUACUUAAUAAAGUAUGACAGGAAUUGAAGCUGACCUGAACCUCAGGAGAAUUUUUCUCUUGAGAUCAGAAAGCCAGGUUUUAUUAGAAUAAAAUCAUUGUGGUUGUAACUAGGGAGAUCUCAGGAAUGAUGAUCAAGGAAGGUAGAAAGGAGUUGGAAGGAUCUCUGCUUCUGCCUGUUGUGCCCCUGCAUGCGAGUCCUUGGUUCCACUUAAUUCAGCAUCUUUCUGAGUUACAGUGACCCCUCUCAUGUCUACAUGACAGCAAAAGCCUCACAAGAAUUUUAGUACUUGCUCUGUUCCUUACCUGAGCUGUGAGCUUCUUGCUAUGGCUCUGAUGGGAAAUACACCCUGUGCUCUCUCACCUUCCUCUCUUCCAGCCCAGUUUGGAGCAUCUCAGAGAAGGAAAAUCUCCCUCCCUCAUUUGGAGCAUGUGGGGGAAACUCACUCAGCUUUUUAAAAGAACAUAGCAUAGAAUUUGGAAUAUAAUAAAUACUGUAUUUUCUGAAAGUAAAUUAUUUUUGUCGUGCUUGUGGCUAUUUGGUUUCUUUGAGAAGCUGACUGUCAUUAGGUGUAUGCGAGAUGCAAGAGAAUGUAAAAAUGGGGGCUUGGUAGUAAGUUUUUAGUCAAAUCCAGACUGGGCUGCUGAUAGAGGGAGCACAGAGGAAUUUGGAGAGUCGAGUUCAAAAGGAGAACCACACAGCUUCUUCUUCAGGUCUCUUCAUUUCAAUCCAGUGAUAAUACCUUCCAGUGAUACAAUUUGUACGUGCAUUAUCUUUGUAGCUAGAGGAGUGGAAAUAUAGGAAGUGUGUUUGCUAUGUUACAACUUUUGUACACGCUUUUAGGCAGCUAAGGGAUACAACCUCUGUUUUGACUUUGUAUAAGCAGUUUAGAGUAGCUGAAGUAAGUACGCAUCUGACAUCGUGGCUGACUCAUCCCAGAGAUCAACAUGUUUUAAAGAAAGUAAUUCUACUUGUUUUUUGAUCUUUCAGUAGAUGAUACUGAAAUCUUUUUUUUUCUACCUCUUUAAAGACUGUGUUGAAAUAUCCAUUGUAAAACACGAAACAUGCAGAAAAAUGAUAUUAAGGAAAUGAAUGAUCUUUCUUGUCGAAUCUGAACCAGAAUCAAUGGUAUGUUGUAGUAUUUCCCAUUUUCUUUGGAUUUUGAUUGCCCAAAGAAAUUAGCCCUGAGUUUGCCUUCAUAUGCUGCCAGGUCCUCUUAAAGGAGUGAUGCCAGGCAUCAAAAACAUGUGUAGCUGCAUCUCUAGAUUUACUUACAUUUUUGUAGCUAUGUGGUUUUUUGUUUGUUUUGUUUUUUUGUUUUUUUUCCAUGCAGAUUCUUAUGCAUGAGCUAAACUCAUAGGAAUCCUCCGCAUAUACAAAUAGCAGCUUUGGAUUUGGAAUGUAGCAGUUGCUGACCUGUGUGAACAGGUUGUGAAAGCUUCAUUCUAAACUAAAGGUUGAUUUAGAUCUCAAGGUACGAUUUCUCCAAAUGUCAUAAUUUUAGUAAUACUUGUGUUUACUUGUGGAUUUUCUUUCUGUUUAUAUAAAUGUUCACCCCUUUUUAACCUUUAACCACAUAGCCAAAUGUAAAUGUUUUCUUGUAGCAGCGACUUCCAAAUGUAUUGUUUUACUUUGUUUUCCCUUGCUUUUACAUUUACAUUUGGGAGAACAGAAGCCUUCAAUGUGACUAUUCUAUUAUUAUUUCUUAUUUUUUAUUUUUAAAAUAGGUGGUAGUAAGGAAGUGAAUCUUUUUUGGUUGUUUUCUUUUUCUUUUUUCCCUCUCUCCCCUUUCUUGAGGUUUUUCAUGACUCAGAUAGCUUUUUGCCACUCUUCUUUGCACUUCCCACUUUGUAUUUGCAGUUUCUGCAGACACUGGUUGCUAUGAAAAUGAUAGCAUAGAAUUUAUCUCUAGGCAGUAGGAUAGGUGGAGGUAACAGUGAAUCUCCCUUCUGGCCCUGUUGAUAUGAAUACUAAAGCUCCAUCUUAGUUGCAUCUUCUUAUGACACCCAGGUCCACUUCCAAAUCAAAUACAAUAUAUUUUAAAUUCUGUAAGGUAUAGUAUUUAUAAUUUUUCUCUGCAUUCCCAUAAAAUCACCUGGCAUGAACAUGAUUUUGUAAUACUGAGUUCCUCAUCUUUAGGUCUGCAAGGAACUGUGUGUGGCAACCAUUAGGCCACAGCCUGAACCAGUGAUUGAGUGCUUGGUGAAGGGGCAUUACCAGCCCUGGGAGCACAGGUGGAAGCAAUUCUGCAUGACCAGAAGGAGGUGGACCCAGGGUCUACCCCUCCCUAAUCUCAUUUAAGGGCUGGUAGCAGGGAGGGAAGGAUCUCUACUCAGAGAUUGCCUCCUUUGGAGCGUCUGGUGAGUCCUGGUCCUCAGAGAGUGGUAAGCAAUUCCUUCUUAAUUACUGGAUUGUGACUACUACACUUCUUGGGGGUAAAGCAACUGCCUACCUGCUGCUGCCUAUCCUUACAGGCUGUCUGGCCACUGAAGGGAGCUUUUAGCAAGUGGCACUGCAGGUAACAAACUGUAGUUUUUGUGGAUGGAGCUGUUGUGUGAUGUUAGUAGAACUUCUCCUGAGGCUCAAGUCAGCCCAGGGUAUGGUAAAGUGAUUCACUGGCCUUAGUGACAGGGCCAAUUUAAAUCCUUUCCUGUCUAUGCUGUGGCUCAUUUACUUAGGAGCAGUCUGACAGAAACUGUUUUAGACUUACUGCAUGCUAGGCUGGUGAAAGAUCAAGAGGUGUAGGAGCAGGAACAGCAUAUGCCUUUCUUGCUGUUAAAACCUGUGUAUUUUAGAACUAUAGCUAUGUUAAUCUAGAGAAGACUGGAUUGCAUUAGACACUGGAGGGACAAUGUCUUCCUGCCCUUUGGGGAGGAGUAUCUGUCACCCAAACAAUCAUUUGUCACAUAGUAUUGUAGUGCUCCUUUUCUUAAUUAACAGUCUUAUUUCUCAGAUUCUACAGCUGAGCUUUAAACUGUAGUUAGUGCUUUGGCCAAACCAAGAGGAAAAAAAGCCCUAUUAUAAUUUUUCUUUUGCUGCCAAGUUCAGGGAUUCAUUCAUGCUUUAUUAUUUGUACUGAACCAUUAAACAUCAGCAUCUGUACAGAGUACUUAUGCAGAAUAGGAAACUGUAUGGACUUAGCUGUUAUUGAAAAUAACAAUACUAAUAUCUAUUGUGAUAGUGUGAGUGGUUUUCUAAUAAUGACAGUGUAAAACUUCUGGGCAAGCAAUUGCAACUCUAUCCCUAUACUGGACAGAUCUCCAAGGGGUUUUUUCUUUGAAUCCACCUUGCAUUCAAAGGAUAUAUGGAAACGCUUCUUAAAAUGUAAUUUAAUUUUUAAAUUUUUACUAUAUCUUUUGAGAAAAUGAACUUAAAAUACUGGCUAAAUAACCCUUUCCAACUUCUACAUUCAAUUCUGUGGUAGCAUGUGCUCUGCACAAGCUGUGUGAGCGUUGUUACUAAAAUCUCUGAGGUACAAAUAUUUUUCCCUGUGUUCAUGCAAUGUCCCUGCAAUGGCAAGUGUCUAUCUGCAGUGACAGAUAUUUUUCACUUAGAACUAUUUACCACUGGAGAACAUCCCUACCAAUACUUUCAAUUAAACUUCACAAGCCUCUGUCAUGUUGACUAUAAAAUACAUAACAUGGUCCACAAAUGGGAAAUGAGUCUAAAAUUAAACCAAUGAUCUUAAAACAUAGUAGAUACAGGAACUGAAUCAAAGAAUCAAGAAAUUAUUGAGGUUGGAAGAGACCUGUGGGUACAUCUGGUCCCAAGCCUUGCUCAAGCAGGGACACCCAGAGCAGGGUGCCCAGCACCGUGGUGGCUUCUAAGAUCUCC